GACGCAACUGGGGAACGCGCUGCUAGAUUGAGCGGUACCGGGUACGGGUUGUCAAACUUAAAAAACAUCAUAAAUAAUCGUACGCCCGCACCCGGCACUCCGCUAUCGCCGCCCAAUCUUCCCCAGUUG
rnacentral:rRNA from 1 species